rnacentral:rRNA from 1 species
CCCUUAGAUGUUCUGGGCCGCACGCGCGCUACACUGAACAGUUCAACAAGUCUUAACCUUGGCCGAUAGGUCUGGGUAAUCUUUGAACGCUGUUCGUGAUUGGGAUAGACCUUUGCAAUUAUGGGUCUUCAACGAGGAAUUCCUAGUAAACGCAAGUCAUCAGCUUGCAUUGAUUACGUCCCUGCCCUUUGUACACACCGCCCGUCGCACCUACCGAUUGAAUGGUCCGGUGAAGCCUCGGGAUUGUGGCUGGUUUCCUUUAUUGGAGGUCGGUCGCGAGAACUUGUCUAAACCUUAUCAUUUAGAGGAAGGUGAAGUCGUAACA